GGUCAAGUUAUUAAGGGUGCAGGGCAGAUGCCUUGGCACUAGGAGCCGAUGAAGGACGUGAUAGCUGCGAUAAGCUUCGGGGAGUUGCACGCCGGCUUUGAUCGAAGAUUUCCGAAUGGGAAACUUCACUUGAGUAAUGUCUAGAGUAUCGUAUGAUGAAUACAUAGUCAUGCGAGGGGAACCCGGAGAACUGAAACAUCUAAGUACCCGGAGGAAGAGAAAGAAAUUCGAUUCCGUAGUAGCGGCAAAACGAACGCGGAACAGGCCAAACCAGUGAAGUUUUCUUCGCUGGGUUGCGGACAUAUCAUAACGAAGAGGUAUCGUAGAAGAAGAGAGUUGGAAAGCUCCGCCACAGAUGGUAACAGCCCAGUAUUUUAAACGAAGACUUUAGAUAUGAUCCAGAGUACCACGGGACGUGAAACCCUGUGGGAAGCAGGAGGGACCAUCCUCCAAGCCUAAAUACUACCUAGUGACCGAUAGCGUAUAGUACCGUGAGGGAAAGGUGAAAAGACCCGGGAGGGGAGUGAAGAGAACCUGAAACCCUGCGCCUGGCUGUAGGAGCACAUUAUUUGUGUGACUGCGUACUUUUUGUAGAACGGGCCAACGAGUUACGUUGUGUAGCAAGGUUAAGCACUUAAGGUGUGGAGCCGUAGCGAAAGCGAGUCUUAAAUGGGCGUCAGUUACCCGACGUAGACCCGAAACAGGCGACCUAUCCAUGACGAGGUUGAAGCGAAAGUAAAAUUUCGUGGAGGACCGAACCCACGUACGUUGAAAAGUGCAGGGGAUGGCUUGUGGAUAGCGGUGAAAUUCAAUCGAGCCUGGAGAUAGCUGGUUCUCCCCGAAAUAGCUUUAGGGCUAGCCUCAAGCUUAGAGAAGCGGGUAGAGCACUGAAUGUCCUAGGGGUAUUGCACUUACCGAAGACUAUCAAACUCCGAAUGCCGUAUUCUUGCUUGGGAGUCAGACUAUGGGUGAUAAGAUUCAUAGUCAAGAGGGCAACAACUUAGAUCGUCAGCUAAGGUCCUAAAUGUAAGUUAAGUGGUAAAGGAUGUGGAAUUGCACAGACAACCAGGAUGUUGGCUUGGCUUAUCACUCAUUUAAAGUGCGUAAUAGCUCACUGGUCGAGUGAUUCUGCGCCGAAAAUUUCCGGGGCUAAAACUUUUCACAAGCUACGGCAUCAUUAUUAUGAUGGGUAGGAGCUUUCUGCUUAUGUGGCUUGAAGCAUGACCGUAAGGACAUGUGGACUGCAUAGAAGUGAGAAUGUUGGCAUGAGUAGCGAGAUGUGGGUGAGGAAUCCCACAGGCCGUAAACCCAAAGGUUUCCAGGGAAGGUUCGUCCGCCUGGGUUAGUCAGGACCCUAAGCCGAGGCCGAAAGGCGUAGGUGAUGGACAACAGGUUGAUAUUCCUGUACCACCAAUAACCGUUUGAGAAAUGGGAUGACACAGUAGGAUAAGCUAACCGCACUGUUGGUUAUGUGCGGGCAAGUAUUGAGGCAGUUCCGUGGAAACCGUCCGUCGGAAUAAUGCUGGGGUACGAUGCGGAGCGAAAUUUAGUAGCGAAGUAGCUGAUUUCACGCUGUCGAGAAAAGUCUCUAUCGGAGUUAAAAGGUGCCUGUACCGCAAACCAACGCACAGGUGGGUGAGGAGUAUCUAAGGCCAGCGAGAGAACUGUUGUUAAGGAACUCGGCAAAAUGACCCCGUAACUUGAAGGGAGAAGGGGUGCCUUCGAAAAGAAGGCCGCAGAGAAUAGGCCCAAGCGACUGUUUACCAAAAACAUAGGUUUCUGCUAAGUCGCAAGACGAUGUAUAGGAGCUGACGCCUGCCCGGUGCUGGAAGGUUAAAGAGGGUCCGACAAUCGAAGCGAUGAACUUAAGCCCCAGUAAACGGCAGCCGUAACUAUAACGGUCCUAAGGUAGCGAAAUUCCUUGUCGGGUAAGUUCCAGAAGCCCGCACGAAAGGCGUAACAGGUUGGGCACUGUCUCAACAACAGACUCGGUGAAAUUGUAAUACCGGUGAAGAUGCCGGUUACCUGCGACAGGACGGAAAGACCCCAUGGGCUUACUGUAGCUUGACAUUGAGUCUCGGUGCUACAUGUACGGAUAGGUGGGAGACUAUGAAGCAUGGACGUCAGUCUGUGUGCAGGUCCAUCCUUGGGAUACCACCCUUGUAGUACUGGGAUUCUAACCAGAGGCCAUGAAUCUGGUCUUGGGACACUGUCAGGUGGACAGUUUGACUGGGGCAGUCGCCUCCCAAAGUAACAGGAGGCAUCAAAAGGUUCUCUCAGUACGGUCGGAAAUCGUACGAAGAGUGUAAAGGCAAAGAGCUUGAUUGCAAGACAUACAGGUCGAGCAAGGACGAAAGUCGGACUUAGUAUUGAUCCGGUGGUUCCGCAUGGAAGGGCCAUCGCUCAACGGAUAAAAGCUACCCUGGGGAUAACAGGCUGAUCUCCCCCAGAGUCCACAUCGACGGGGAGGUUUGGCACCUCGAUAAUCGGCUCAUCACAUCCUGGGGCUGUAGUAGGUCCCAAGGGUUGGGCUGUUCGCCCAUUAAAGUGGUACGCGAGCUGGGUUCAGAACGUCGUGAGACAGUUGGGGUCCCUAUCCGUCGCAGGCGUAGGAAAUUUGAGGAGACCUGUCCUUAGUACGAGAGGACCGGGAUGGACAUUACCGCUGGUGUACCAGUUGUUCUGCCAAGGAAGCACGGAGUAGCUAAGUACGGAAAGGAUAAGCGCUGAAAGCAUCUAAGCGCGAAGCCCACUUCAAGAUAAGAUUUCCCACCGCAAGGUUAAGAUCCCAGGAAGGCUACCUGGUUGAUAGGUCAGAGGUGUAAGUGCAGUAAUGUAUUUAGCUUACUAAUGAUACUAAUAGAUCGAGGACUUGACCAA
rnacentral:rRNA from 1 species